UGAGUCUUCAUCGAACUUAGCAUGUGUGUUUUCGGAAUGUGGGAGGCUCGAGUACACUGGCUUCCUAAAUUGUUACUGCCAUCAUUAUUAUGACAUUUAUAUGAUGGUGACCAACCAGUCCAAAAAUAAUGCGUUCCCUCAAACAAGAGCAGCCGCUUUAUCAGAACUGGAAGAGAUUUGCCAAUAAAAAGAACAUCAAAGUUUUCUGUCGACUUUCCCACAUAGAACGAAAAAAAAAAUGUGUGUGCUAAAUGUCCGCUUGCUUGAUUUAAAAACGACUUUAACUCAAUACAGAAAAACCCGUCUUCUCAUACGAGACGACUGCUGGAGCAGACUGUAACACUGAGAAUGUGUCAGCUCUGUGAGUCCCGCUCCAAAAAGCAGCUGGAUGCCCGUCCGCCACGCCCUGUUCGCCUCCUCUCAUUGGUCAGGACACUUUUUGCAGUCAAAUGGAAGGCCAGAGCGCACAUUUGAACGCCCAACCUCAGAACUACAUAUUGCAUUUGGCCCUACCACUUCACCCCCUAAAAGCCAGGCAUCAUGUGGCUGGCGCUAUCGUGUAUUGCACGACUCCGGCUUGUCAAGGUGGAAACCACCCAGUGUGCUGACACUUGCCCUCCGCGCCACCACAGUGACAGUAAUUUUAACGCAGCCGGGGCGGAGCGGUCCCGGAGGUGCGCCAUUAAAGUUCAGGUGAGGUUAAUUGCCGAGCAUUGUGAGGCCUGCUGCUGCGCACCGGGGUGGCGGGUGGUUUGUUGACGCCUCCCAUUGACGAUUCAGACAUGACGCUACACCCGGCGGCUAGCACGGCGGGGGUUCAACCGUGGAUUUACACGGCAAAAUGCCUCCUGAUGUCAAUCAUUCCCAAACAUGCCUCCAAAUGAAAGUCCAAGGGAAAAUACUGCCCAUUCACUGCACAGCAGCAUGUGAUUCACCACAGCGGUCAAUCACAGUUCCACCACAGUCUGUUGUGUGACACGAGCCAAACCGCCACUUUCAAGCAACAUUUUUAUCCAUCCAUCCGAUGUGGAUGCUUAGCUGGAUCCUAUCCCAGCUGACUUUGGCCGAGGAUCCUCCCAGAACCGCUCUCCAACCAAUCGCAGGUCACUUAUAAACAAACAACAGUUGAAACUCAUGUUCACACGUCAGGACAAUUUAUUCAAUGAAUCGAAUAUCAUUUUUUUUGUGGAAGCCGUAGUACCCAGAGAAAGGCCACACAGUAAGGUUGGGGCCGGGAUUCAAACCCUCGACUUCAGAACUGCGAGGCGGAUGUGCUAUUCACUUUCCGCAAUUCUGUUACAAAAAAAAAAAAAUCCUUUAAUUUAAUUCCCAAUUGGAAUUCAGGUACAGUUGUGCCUCUACUUAG